rnacentral:rRNA from 1 species
AUGCACGCUGGCGGCGUGCCUCAUCCAUGCCAGUCGCACGCUUCACUUCGGUGAAGAGUGGCGAACGGGUGAGUAAUACAUAAGUAACCUGGCAUCUACAGGGGGAUAACUGAUGGAAACGUCAGCUAAGACCGCAUAGGUGUAGAGAUCGCAUGAACUCUAUAUGAAAAGUGCUACGGGACUGGUAGAUGAUGGACUUAUGGCGCAUUAGCUUGUUGGUAGGGUAACGGCCUACCAAGGCGACGAUGCGUAGCCGACCUGAGAGGGUGACCGGCCACACUGGGACUGAGACACGGCCCAGACUCCUACGGGAGGCAGCAGUAGGGAAUUUUCGGCAAUGGGGGGAACCCUGACCGAGCAACGCCGCGUGAAGGAAGAAGUAAUUCGGUAUGUAAACUUCUGUCAUAGAGGAAGAACGGUGGAUAUAGGGAAUGAUAUCCAAGUGACGGUACUCUAUAAGAAAGCCACGGCUAACUACGUG